rnacentral:rRNA from 1 species
UGGGGAAUUUUGGACAAUGGGCGCAAGCCUGAUCCAGCCAUGCCGCGUGCGGGAAGAAGGCCUUCGGGUUGUAAACCGCUUUUGUCAGGGAAGAAAUCCUUUGAGUUAAUACCUCGGAGGGAUGACGGUACCUGAAGAAUAAGCACCGGCUAACUACGUGCCAGCAGCCGCGGUAAUACGUAGGGUGCGAGCGUUAAUCGGAAUUACUGGGCGUAAAGCGUGCGCAGGCGGUUAUGCAAGACAGAUGUGAAAUCCCCGGGCUCAACCUGGGAACUGCAUUUGUGACUGCAUAGCUAGAGUACGGUAGAGGGGGAUGGAAUUCCGCGUGUAGCAGUGAAAUGCGUAGAUAUGCGGAGGAACACCGAUGGCGAAGGCAAUCCCCUGGACCUGUACUGACGCUCAUGCACGAAAGCGUGGGGAGCAAACAGG